CAGUCGACGAGUUCUCGUUGAUGAUCGGUGCUUGCACCGAGAUUCAACAUGGAACGAGUGGCGGACGGGUGAGUAACACGUGGGUAACCUGCCCUUAAGUGGGGGAUAACAUUUGGAAACAGAUGCUAAUACCGCAUAGAUCCAAGAACCGCAUGGUUCUUGGCUGAAAGAUGGCGUAAGCUAUCGCUUUUGGAUGGACCCGCGGCGUAUUAGCUAGUUGGUGAGGUAACGGCUCACCAAGGCGAUGAUACGUAGCCGAACUGAGAGGUUGAUCGGCCUCAUUGGGACUGAGACACGGCCCAAACUCCUACGGGAGGCAGCAGUAGGGAAUCUUCCACAAUGGACGCAAGUCUGAUGGAGCAACGCCGCGUGAGUGAAGAAGGCUUUCGGGUCGUAAAACUCUGUUGUUGGAGAAGAAUGGUCGGCAGAGUAACUGUUGUCGGCGUGACGGUCUCCAACCACAAAGCCACGGCUAACUACGUGCCAGCAGCCGCGGUAAUACGUAGGUGGCAAGCGUUAUCCGGAUUUAUUGGGCGUAAAGCGAGCGCAGGCGGUUUUUUAAGUCUGAUGUGAAAGCCCUCGGCUUAACCGAGGAAGCGCAUCGGAAACUGGCAAACUUGAGUGCAGAAGAGGACAGUGGAACUCCAUGUGUAGCGGUGAAAUGCGUAGAUAUAUGGAAGAACACCAGUGGCGAAGGCGGCUGUCUGGUCUGUAACUGACGCUGAGGCUCGAAAGCAUGGGUAGCGAACA
rnacentral:rRNA from 1 species